AUUGAACGCUGGUGGCAUGCUUAACACGUGCAAGUCGAACGGUAGCAGAACUAGCUUGCUAGUUGCUGACGAGUGGCGGACGGGUGAGUAAGGCAUAGGAAUCUACCUAUUAGUGGGGGAUAACUCUGGGAAACUAGAGCUAAUACCGCAUAAGACCUGAGGGUUAAACGUGGCGCUUGCGCUGCGGCUAGUAGACGAGCCUAUGUACGAUUAGCUAGUUGGUGGGGUAAAGGCCUACCAAGGCGACGAUCGUUAGCUGUUCUGAGAGGAAGAUCAGCCACACUGGGACUGAGACACGGCCCAG
rnacentral:rRNA from 1 species